rnacentral:rRNA from 1 species
UAAUGUCUGGGAAACUGCCUGAUGGAGGGGGAUAACUACCGGAAACGGUAGCUAAUACCGCAUAACGUCGCAAGACCAAAGAGGGGGACCUUCGGGCCUCUUGCCAUCGGAUGUGCCCAGAUGGGAUUAGCUAGUAGGUGAGGUAACGGCUCACCUAGGCGACGAUCCCUAGCUGGUCUGAGAGGAUGACCAGCCACACUGGAACUGAGACACGGUCCAGACUCCUACGGGAGGCAGCAUG